UUUGAUUAUGGCUCAAGACGAACGCUGGCGGCGUGCUUAACACAUUGCAAGUCGAACGAUGAAGCGGUUGCUUUGCACCGUGGAUUAGUGGCGAACGGGUGAGUAAUACGUGAGUGACCUACCUUUGACUCCGGGAUAAGCCUGGGAAACUGGGUCUAAUACCGGAUACGACCAAUCUCUGCAUGGGGUGUUGGUGGAAAGCGUUAUGGAGUGGUUUUAGAUGGGCUCACGGCCUAUCAGCUUGUUGGUGAGGUAAUGGCUUACCAAGGCGACGACGGGUAGCCGGCCUGAGAGGGUGACCGGCCACACUGGGACUGAGACACGGCCCAGACUCCUACGGGAGGCAGCAGUGGGGAAUAUUGCACAAUGGGCGCAAGCCUGAUGCAGCGACGCCGCGUGAGGGAUGACGGCCUUCGGGUUUGUAAACCUCUGUUAGCAUCGAAGAAAGCGAAAGUGACGGUAGGUGCAGAGAAAGCGCCGGCUAACUACGUGCCAGCAGCCGCGGUAAUACGUAGGGCGCGAGCGUUGUCCGGAAUUAUUGGGCGUAAAGAGCUUGUAGGCGGUUGGUCGCGUCUGCUGUGAAAGGCCGGGGCUUAACUCCGGUUUUGCAGUGGGUACGGGCUAACUAGAGUGCAGUAGGGGAGACUGGAAUUCCUGGUGUAGCGGUGGAAUGCACAGAUAUCAGGAGGAACACCGAUGGCGAAGGCAGGUCUCUGGGCUGUAACUGACGCUGAGAAGCGAAAGCAUGGGGAGCGAACAGGAUUAGAUACCCUGGUAGUCCAUGCCGUAAACGUUGGGCACUAGGUGUGGGGGACAUUCCACGUUUUCCGCGCCGUAGCUAACGCAUUAAGUGCCCCGCCUGGGGAGUACGGCCGCAAGGCUAAAACUCAAAGGAAUUGACGGGGGCCCGCACAAGCGGCGGAGCAUGCGGAUUAAUUCGAUGCAACGCGAAGAACCUUACCAAGGCUUGACAUGCAUUAGAUCGCGUCAGAGAUGGCGUUUCCCUUCGGGGCUGGUGUACAGGUGGUGCAUGGUUGUCGUCAGCUCGUGUCGUGAGAUGUUGGGUUAAGUCCCGCAACGAGCGCAACCCUCGUUCUAUGUUGCCAGCGGUUCGGCCGGGGACUCAUAGGAGACUGCCGGGGUCAACUCGGAGGAAGGUGGGGAUGACGUCAAAUCAUCAUGCCCCUUAUGUCUUGGGCUUCACGCAUGCUACAAUGGCCGGUACAGAGGGUUGCGAUACUGUGAGGUGGAGCUAAUCCCUUAAAGCCGGUCUCAGUUCGGAUUGGGGUCUGCAAACUCGACCCCAAGAAAGUCGGAGUCGCUAGUAAUCGCGGUUUCAGCAAACGCUGCGGUGAAU
rnacentral:rRNA from 1 species